rnacentral:rRNA from 1 species
GUAAGGAAUAUUGGUCAAUGGGCGCAAGCCUGAACCAGCCAUGCCGCGUGCAGGAAGACGGCCCUCCGGGUUGUAAACUGCUUUUGUACGGGAAUAAACCUCGCUACGUGUAGCGAGCUGAAUGUACCGUAAGAAUAAGGAUCGGCUAACUCCGUGCCAGCAGCCGCGGUAAUACGGAGGAUCCAAGCGUUAUCCGGAUUUAUUGGGUUUAAAGGGUGCGUAGGCGGCCUGUUAAGUCAGGGGUGAAAGACGGUGGCUCAACCAUCGCAGUGCCCUUGAUACUGAUGGGCUUGAAUAGACUAGAGGUAGGCGGAAUGUGACAAGUAGCGGUGAAAUGCAUAGAUAUGUCACAGAACACCGAUUGCGAAGGCAGCUUACUAUGGUCUGAUUGACGCUGAGGCACGAAAGCGUGGGGAUCGAACAGGAUUAGAAACCCGAGUAGUCC